rnacentral:misc_RNA from 1 species
CCAUAAUCUAAAGAUAUGGAUUUUUCUUAUUAAAACAAUGAGAUUUGAUUGACAUUUUUGCUACAAAUUACACAACAACAAAAGGAGAAAUAAGAGAAAAAAAAUUUAGCAAUUUGUCCAUUACAGGCUCUGGUAGUGAGUGGUUGGAUCAGUGAAGAUAAGAAUUAGGAGAAGAAGAAUAAUGAGUCCCUCUAAUAAACUGGCAGAUGGAAGAAGCCAUGACUUGCAUCAUCUCUUCGGCGAAUCUCAGAACCUCAGGUCGCACAAACAUUGCCCAUAGACCCACCACUGCAAGCACUAUUUCUGUUCCCAAGCUCAUCAUCUCUCUCUGUGAAUGUUCAUUACAUUUUUAGACAAAAUAAAACAGAAGGCAGCUAGAGGGGACGGGAAGAACUAUCUAGGACGUAUUUUUGUGUCUCAGCCGCAUGAUACCUCCACCAGUAAAGUGUAUAUCAGUCUGCAGGAAAUGGAAGUUAAAAAGAGUUGGCAAUGGAAUUAGAUGUUUUACAUGUAAUGGUAUCAUAC